GUGCCUUCCUGGAGUGAAGGACUUUCACAGCCCAGCUCUCUGGUAUGGACCCAAUGUCACUGACUACUGAUUCUGCUCAGGCCUCUGGAAAGCCCCUUUGGAAGUUGGGUGUAGCCAUGUGGCUUUCUUGAAUCAGUGAAAUGUGAGCAAAUUGAUGGUGUCGCUUCUGGGCAGAAGUGGUGAGAUCCAGGAAUCCGACAGGCCACCCACCCACUCCCUGCAUUCUCAUUUCCUGCCUUGAACCAGGCACCAGGCGGGGCAGUCACAGCUCAGCAAGGAGAAGCAGCAGGAUGAGGAGAUCUGGCAGCUGCAGAAGGAACAUGGGGCCUGCUCUCAUUCCUGCAGAUGGGAAGGAGAGAAGGAAAGGAUUCUGCAUGGGAAUUCUCAAGACACGGGCCUCCCAAACUUUUAGAGCUUCAU
rnacentral:lncRNA from 1 species